ensembl:lncRNA
UGAAAAGGGGUGGAGCUAGGAUCCACCCCUUCCCAGACCUCAUUUAAGGGUUGGCAGUGGAGGUAUGGGUGUCUUGCUGGAGAUUGCUGUCUGCUUGAGGCCUUCUAAGGAUACUACCACAGCUUUCUUAAGCAAAAUUUCUGAGGAGUCCAGGAGGAACACUGCAGCAAGACUUAGCACUCUGAAGUGUGCACUUAAUAAAUGAACAUAAAAACGGCAGAGAGGAGAUCUGGUGACUGCUGAGAUGAGAUAGUGAAGUAGAUACCAUACACUGAUGAUACAAGCAAAUAACUUCCCAUUCUCUUCCCUGGAAGUAGCUUCCUUCCUGAGCUCCUCAUUAUAUGCAAUCGUCUUGUACAUGAAUUGGAGUGCACAUGCCAAACAGCCCUCAGAGAAAGAGCUGAUGCACCAGGUGCUAUGGGGGUUCCUACUGAUGACUGGAGGGUGUCUGUCCAUGCAGCCAGCAUAGGAAUUAACUUCUUGAAAGAACAGUUGGCUGUCCCCAGAGGCUGAAAGGGGAAGGAAGGAUCCUUCAUCAUGAAAGGCAUGGAGGAGCACAACUCCGAGUCAAAAACAGCCUGCAGUUCCAGUGCCUCUAUUUACUGCUUUACACUGGGCUAUACUUUCCCAUUAAUGCUUUGUAUUGUCUUGACAUAAACAUGUUCUGUGUGUGGAAGUGCGUCUUGUAUGUGACAGUUCUUAUUCCUUCCAUAGAGAUCUUUUUGAAAUUUGGAAGCAGGAUAAUUGGAAGUCUGAGUAAGAGCUUCGAGAUUGUUCUUUGGAAAAUUCAUUAGAAUAAAUCUCCUUUGUCAGUGGUUAGAAAGCAGUAACCAUGUUUCAGUUUUCUUACUCUCCAGCCCACUUGAAUGUAGAGAAGCUUUGUUGUGGACUUGCUAUUCCCACAGGCUCUUGGUGUUUCUUAAAAUACUUCAUUAUGCAGAUUUGCUGAAGGGCUUCCACCAACCAGUAUUCAGGAAUCUCUGGAUAUGUUUUUUUCUGCAACUUUGUUGCUUAGGUGAAUCUUAUAACCAUAAUCUCAUUUAAAUAGUCCUUCUGGCACUUGGCCAUGUGUCUCUGUUGCGUAUCAGUGGUAAACAGCUGAGUUGGCUGACUUUAAAAUAGAAAAACAUUGUGUUCUGGUUGGAGGUGUUAAUGAAAAGACUGUUGGUGGAAGUUAACAAUUGCAACAGUGCUGUUCCUAGAAACACAAUGUCUGUUAUUAACAAUGGCUUUAUAGGUCUGAAUGCUCCCUCUGGGAAAGAAAUAAUUGCAGUAUAUACCAGCCAGUUAAGCAAUUUCUGAAACAUGAGUUUCUGCACCUAAACUAUACAUACUGCUUAGACUUGAGAAGAAAUUCACUUAUGCUCUUCAAAUGCUGAAUAACUUACUGCAAAAGGAAACUAUUCACAUGUCCAUGGAAGAUAAGACAAAAGUAACAGGCACGAAUUGUAGUAGGGGAAGUUUAAGCUCAAAAGAAACUGCAAAAAUAGUAGAGGUGAAUAAUAGUUCCUCUUAGCUACAGUUCAUUAGUAAAGGUUAUGAAUUUGUUGUACAUACUGGAAACAUUUUUUUAGAGCACCAGUGUAUCAUUCUUAGCAAUUUAAAUGUGUGACUGUAUUAAUCCACAAAGUUCUUCUGAGACAGUCCAGUGAAGAAUAUACUGCAGAAGUACUGAUAACACAUAAAUAUUCCAAAUUCUGCUUUGAUUUACAUCCCCCAAAAAUGAUUUAGUGGAAAUAUGAGUGGCUGCUCUGUCCUUAGAAACAACAUUUAUUUCAGCACAAACACAUUUAAAAUACUAUGUAAGCACUUAAGAAUAUGAAGGUGACUCAUUUUCCUCUUAAGAUAUCAUCUUGUGCCAUAGCAAAGGAGUACCUUCAAAAGAGGAACAUGCUCUAAUGAGCAUGGGGUCAGUUCAAAAAUAAACUUGAGUCAUAAUUUUAGCUUCAUAGGGUUCUGAUUUCAAAUAAUCUGAGAUUUGCUGUGUUCCCGUAUUAAAUCUAAAAACUUGAGAUGCAAGAGAAGAUUGGCCACAGGCACCUCAAUGAGUCUUGAACGCUUGGGAGAUUUCACAGUGCUUCCACAACUCCUUACAGCUAAGCAGCAUUUGCUACAUGCAUUCCCUUGAGUAACUUGUUCGAUAUUCAAAUUCUCCCUUUGGUUUUCAAGUACUGUGUAGUUCCUCCACCUCUGUGACCCACUGUAUCGGUUCCCAACCCAUGUUUUUUUUUUUUGUACUUCAAUUUUCAUUGCUUUUUCAUUGUUCAAAUAGUCAGUAAGUCUCCAAGCUUUUGUUAGAUGAGAAGCUCAUUACUGGUGGGAUCAGUACCUUAUGCAGAUGAUGACUUUAGAGACUGGCGCUCAAUAAGGAAAAUGGAUGAAAUGCAAGACACCACAUUUCAGAAGAGGUUAUGAUCGUGUGGAGCAUUUGUGGCUCUACCAAGACUUCAGGAAUACACACACCGAUGAUCAUACCACCAAUUCUUUGCAAACGAAGCAUUAAUAUAGGAAUUCAUGAAAUGCAUAAAAAAAGCUCAUUAUUGUGACAAAAGAAUUGUAUAAAAAAAAUUGAAGUAGAUAAAUAUAGACUGAGUGUUGUGGUGGAAUAAUAGGUGUCAUUCUGGGAUGAUGAACAGCUACUCUGGGUGCUGCUUAAGAUUAGAAACAUUAGAAGAAGCUUGCAUUGUGUUCCUCAUAUCCAAGAGGAGAUCAAAGUAUAUACUUGGAUGUAAUCCAAUCAGUGAUAAAAUCAUUACAGUUCUUUUUCAAGCAAAUCCAGUCAAUAUGUCGAUCAAACAGAUUAGCACUCCUACGUUAGCAGAUGACAAAGAUGCAGCUGAUGAGUUCUAUCAGGAGUUUGAAGAGAUAUUCAUUAAAAUGAGGCAAAGCUAUCACCCAUGCAACUGGGGACCUUGCAACUGUGAAAUUUUGGCUGUCAGGUGCAUAAGCUCUCCAAAAGAAGUCAUAGGAAGUGACUACUCAUUUUGUUUUACUGAAUGAAAG